rnacentral:rRNA from 1 species
GAUGAACGCUGGCGGCGUGCCUAACACAUGCAAGUCGAGCGAACGGACGCGAAGUUUGUUUCUCUGAUGUUAGGGGCGGACGGGAGAGUCACAUGUGUAUACUCCCCCUAUCAGUCUGGGAUCACUUCGGGAAACCGGCUCUUACACCGGAUAAUAUUUUGAACCGCAUGGUUCAAUAGUGAAAGACGGUCUUGGUGUCACUUAUAGAUGGAUCCGAGCUGCUUUAGCUAGUUGGUAAGGUAACGGCUUACCAAGGCAACGAUGCAUAGCCGACCUGAGAGGGUGAUCGGCCACACUGGAACUGAGACACGGACCAGACUCCUACGGGAGGCAGCAGUAGGGAACCUUCCGCAAUGGUCGAAAGCCUGACGGAGCAACGCCGCGUGGGUGAUGAAGGUCUUCGGAUCGUAAAGCUCUGUUAUUAGGGAAGAACAGAUGUGGAAGUAACUGUGGACAUCGUGACGGUACCGGAUCAAGAAGCCACGGCUAACUACGUG